UUGACCUUAACCGUCUAUCAAGGUGAUUAGAAGCAAUAUAAAGCGAAAGCAAAUAGUUUUAACUUCAUAUUAGUCAAUAACGUACACCAACGAUGAAGGCUGUAGCUCUUUCUUUGCUUCUCUUGGCAUUAAUUGCCUAUGCUGUUGCUAUUCAAUUCUUUCCACACCCUGAAGAUUGUACAUUAUUCUAUAAAUGUGAAAAUCCGGAGCUUGUGGAAUGCCCAGCUGGAUUACAUUUCAACCCAACUUUACAAGUUUGUGAUUGGCCAGAACAAGCUGGUUGCGACGCUUAAAGUUGUACUGACAAAUGCAUGACAAAAAUAAAUAUAUUAAAUAAA